CCCUGUUCUCCACGUGAAAUCCAGUCUUUGCUCCCCUACCGUCGGUAGCAUUAAUGGAGUGGCCACCGUUAUUGGAGCCCUCCACUCCAGCCCUUGCCUGGCCCUGCAUCACCUAGUGACUAUUGACUGCAUUGUUUAGAAAAGGAAAGGAAGAGAAGAAG